AUGGCGCCAAACCUAGGACCAAUGGGCUACCCGUGCAUCCCUAAUGCCCUCCUUAGGUUCCACCCCAAACCGAGGCUACUUACAUACCCCCGCCAUGUGUCCGCCGGAGAGAUCUCCGGACACCAGCGGUGGGGGGUGCCGGUCAACUCUCUCUGUGUUCUCAGAAUAAAGGCCGCUUUUUGUUUUAUACUUCUCACCUUUUGGAAAUAUUUUUCACCUUUUGGAAAUAAUCCUAUCAUUUGGUGCCGUGACUCAGAUCGGCAGGCGAUUGACUCCUGGGACACACCCAGUGGAUUCCCCAGCCAAUUCACAAACCAGAUCACAUCCUGGAUUAAUUCCAUGCUUUUUCCUCUCCCGAGACGUCCUUGUGGCCAGCUGUCUGCACUCACCAUCGGCCAGAUUGAUUUCAGUCUCUCGACAACACCGGUCCAUCCUGCCUCCUACACGGCUUUCUGACAACCCCUUCCACUGUCUUGGCAAUGAUUUUAUUCUGGUUCUGACCAAUAUACCAUUGCUGAGCCCCUGAAAGAGGAAUGGGACCUGUAUAUUCCCUGCAGCAGGAACACUGGUCACCCUGACCUGUUUGCAGCCUCCCCUCCCCUGUGAGACCCAAGAUUGCAGGGUCCAACUGUCAUUGUCACCGCUGUGUCCCCAGCACUGAACAGCACAAGAUCAGGCACACUGAUGAAGCUCAUUGGAUCUUCGCUUGAAGAAUACAAAAGGUCCCCACUCCAGCCCCACCCCCUGCAAGUGUCCUCCACACCCAGAAGAAUCAGCUAAAAGAUUAAAAUACAAACCAAGCAUGAUAGUG
rnacentral:lncRNA from 1 species